rnacentral:rRNA from 1 species
AACGAACGUUGGCGGCAUGCCUAACACAUGCAAGUCGAACGAGACCUUCGGGACCCGUGGCGCCAGGGUGCGUAACGCGAGGGAAACAGACUUUCGGUUGGGAAAAACUGAGAGUAAUUUCAGCUAAUCCCUUAUAAUGUCUUCGGACCAAAGAUUUAUCGCCGAGGGAUGAGACCGCGUAGGAUUAGGUAGUUGGUGAGGUAAUGGCCUACCAAGCCGACGAUCCUUAGCUGGUCUGAGAGGAUGAUCAGCCACACUGGGACUGAGACACGGCCCAGACUCCUACGGGAGGCAGCAGUGGGGAAUAUUGGACAAUGGGCGAAAGCCUGAUCCAGCAAUGCCGCGUGAGUGAUGAAGGCCUUAGGGUUGUAAAGCUCUUUUACCCGGGAUGAUAAUGACAGUACCGGGAGAAUAAGCUCCGGCUAACUCCGUGCCAGCCGCCGCAGUAA